GAGACCGGCGCACGGGUGCGUAACGCGUAUGCAAUCUACCUUUUACAGGGGAAUAGCCCAGAGAAAUUUGGAUUAAUGCCCCAUAGUAUAUAAUAAUCGCAUGGUUUUUAUAUUAAAGUUCCAACGGUAAAAGAUGAGCAUGCGUCCCAUUAGUUAGUUGGUAAGGUAACGGCUUACCAAGACUAUGAUGGGUAGGGGUCCUGAGAGGGAGAUCCCCCACACUGGUACUGAGACACGGACCAGACUCCUACGGGAGGCAGCAGUGAGGAAUAUUGGACAAUGGGCGCAAGCCUGAUCCAGCCAUGCCGCGUGCAGGAAGACGCAUCUAUGGUGUGUAAACUGCUUUUGUACAGGAAGAAACACUCCCUCGUGAGGGAGCUUGACGGUACUGUAAGAAUAAGGAUCGGCUAACUCCGUGCCAGCAGCCGCGGUAAUACGGAGGAUCCAAGCGUUAUCCGGAAUCAUUGGGUUUAAAGGGUCCGUAGGCGGUUUAAUAAGUCAGUGGUGAAAGCCCAUCGCUCAACGAUGGAACGGCCAUUGAUACUGUUAGACUUGAAUUAUUAGGAAGUAACUAGAAUAUGUAGUGUAGCGGUGAAAUGCUUAGAUAUUACAUGGAAUACCAAUUGCGAAGGCAGGUUACUACUAAUGGAUUGACGCUGAUGGACGAAAGCGUGGGGAGCGAACAGGAUUAGAUACCCUGGUAGUCCACGCCGUAAACGAUGGAUACUAGCUGUUGGAAGCAAUUUCAGUGGCUAAGCGAAAGUGAUAAGUAUCCCACCUGGGGAGUACGUU
rnacentral:rRNA from 1 species